AUCCCUCUCCCUUCCUCUUCUUUGAAAUCAAUAUAUAUAUAUAUAUAUUUUUUUUUUUAAAUGAGAAGUGGGAUAAGAUUAAGACUAAUGCUUUCCCCUCGAAAUCCCUGGGCUCUCUGAAGCUGUCCACUGUUAACACACAAAACCUGGACACCAAACACCAAUUUAUCCCACACUCAAAAAACCUGGCAACGUCUCGCCCUCUGAGCCUGCUGGUUUUCCACUUUCCCGUAAGAGACCAACUCUGUCCGCCCCCAGCAGUAAAAGGGAACAGAGAGCACCACCAUGCGGACUCUGAAAAUGGGCCCAGCUUUUUCCAGGGGGCUCCUGGGGCUGACCCCUAUCAGGCUUGGAGUUAAAAGUAUCUUAGCAUCUAGCAAAAGCUGGGUGAACUUUGUACUUAUUCAAAAGCUGGGUGAACUUUGUAUUUAUUUCCCAAAUGGACACAGGCCUAGCGGAUCCCUGCCUUGCUACUGGAUAGCAGAACCCAGGGCAGGAGGGCAUUCAAGGUGAAGGUUGCCAGAGAAAAUACAGGGCGUCCAGUCAAAUUUGAAUUUCACACAAAUGAGGAAUUUUUUUCUUAACAAACAAUUAACAAUGUCAUAUUCGUUUCAGGUGUACAACAUAGGGGUUAGGAAUUGUUUAAUAUAGGAAUAUCCCCUAGAAUAUUUGGGACAUACCUAUACUGAAAUAUUACUUGUUUAUCUGAGAUUCAAAUUUAAGCAGACUUCCUGUAUUUUUAUUUCUAAACCCAGCAACUCUAAUCAGGACAACUCCUCUCAAACUCGCAGGCACUACAGCGCUAAACCUGGAGAUUCCAACAUCCGCCGUGACUCCUCCCCGCCGCCAGAUGGGGCUAGAGCCACUUCCGGCCGUCGCCUGCUGCUGGCACAGGUCCCGGAAGUGACGUCACCUGGGCCGACGCCGCAGGACUUGGCGAGGGAAACGGCUGCGGCGUAAUAUUGGGUGGUAACCCGAGAAAUAGGAGCCCGCUGCCGCCGGGGUCCGCUGUGGCCCGGCCCAAGGACUGCUUCCGCAUGUUUCUCGGCGCAGACUUACCCCCGGUUCCCGGCUGCGGCUUCCAGCUCUGGAGGCCGGAAGGCUCGCUGUUAGCAACAUUCAACCCGAAACCCUGAGUGAGUGAUAGGAAGAGACACCCUGCCAGCCCACAACGGACAUGUAUUGGAAGUAGAAAAUAAAGCUUGGAUGUUUGAAUCACUAA